rnacentral:rRNA from 1 species
ACAAGCGGUGGAGCAUGUGGUUUAAUUCGAUGGUACGCGAGGAACCUUACCAGGGCUUGACAUACGUUGGAAGCGCAUCGAAAGGUGCGUGCCGCUUGCGGCCGGCGUACAGGUGCUGCAUGGCUGUCGUCAGCUCGUGCUGUGAAGUGUUGGGUUAAGUCCCGCAACGAGCGCAACCCCUGCUGCCUGUUGCCACCACGAGAGGUGGGGACUCAGGCGGGACCGCCGGUGACAAACCGGAGGAAGGUGGGGGACGACGUCAAGUCAUCAUGGCCCUUAUGUCCUGGGCUACACACGUGCUACAAUGGCCGGUACAGAGCGCAGCGAGGCCGCGAGGCGGAGCGAAUCGCUUAAAGCCGGUCCCAGUACGGAUUGGAGUCUGCAACCCGACUCCAUGAAGUUGGAAUCGCUAGUAAUCGCGCAUCAGCAUGGCGCGGUGAAUACGUUCCCGGGCCUU